GGCGGACGGGUGAGUAAUGCCUAGGAAUCUGCCUGAUAGUGGGGGACAACGUUUCGAAAGGAACGCUAAUACCGCAUACGUCCUACGGGAGAAAGCAGGGGACCUUCGGGCCUUGCGCUAUCAGAUGAGCCUAGGUCGGAUUAGCUAGUUGGUGAGGUAAUGGCUCACCAAGGCGACGAUCCGUAACUGGUCUGAGAGGAUGAUCAGUCACACUGGAACUGAGACACGGUCCAGACUCCUACGGGAGGCAGCAGUGGGGAAUAUUGGACAAUGGGCGAAAGCCUGAUCCAGCCAUGCCGCGUGUGUGAAGAAGGUCUUCGGAUUGUAAAGCACUUUAAGUUGGGAGGAAGGGCAUUAACCUAAUACGUUAGUGUUUUGACGUUACCGACAGAAUAAGCACCGGCUAACUUCGUGCCAGCAGCCGCGGUAAUACGAAGGGUGCAAGCGUUAAUCGGAAUUACUGGGCGUAAAGCGCGCGUAGGUGGUUUGUUAAGUUGAAUGUGAAAGCCCCGGGCUCAACCUGGGAACUGCAUCCAAAACUGGCAAGCUAGAGUAUGGCAGAGGGUGGUGGAAUUUCCUGUGUAGCGGUGAAAUGCGUAGAUAUAGGAAGGAACACCAGUGGCGAAGGCGACCACCUGGGCUAAUACUGACACUGAGGUGCGAAAGCGUGGGGAGCAAACAGGAUUAGAUACCCUGGUAGUCCACGCCGUAAACGAUGUC
rnacentral:rRNA from 1 species